AGGUGGAGUACUCCCGCGAGACGCUCCGGGUUCUGGUCGUGGCAGGCAGGCUGAGGCAGCCAGUCUGCGGCGGGGCGACCCGGGGAGCAGACGGAUCGUCGACAGCACAGUGUGUGAGCGAGCGAGUGAGCGAGCCAGUCGUAAGGACGAGAGUGUUCAGCGCCGAUCGACCGAAGCUUUUUGAACAAUGCGGUAGAGAACACUUUUAGAAUUUUGUCCAGAAGGGGCCCCAGGCAAAGAAGGACAACACCAGCCGGAGGACAGAGAGAAUAACCCCCGAGGAAAAUCGAUUACGAGAGGGUUUGUGUGCAUUGCGUGGCCGUCGCUGAUUGCGGGAUCCUCAGCGCCAGACACGGUCGUGUAGGCCCAUGUGUCACAUCUCGACGCCCACCUACAGACACUCGGCCUCGUCGUGGGCGUAGGCGGCGUACUCUCCACACAGUGUUGUAAGUCACGGCUUACUCUCGUC